rnacentral:pre_miRNA from 1 species
UUCUUACUCCCUCCGUCCGAAAAUACUUGUCCUAGAAAUGAAUAAAAUGGAUGUAUCUAUAACUAAAAUAAAUCUAGAUACAUUCAUUUCUAGGACAAGUAUUUUCGGACGGAGGGAGUAUAUG